rnacentral:tRNA from 1 species
GGGCCCGUAGCUCAGCGGUAGAGCAACCGGCUCAUAACCGGUAGGUUGCAGGUUCGACACCCGCCGGGCCCACCA